UGUUCAUGUUCCCAGCUAAAAGUCCCUCCUUUUUGUCUCCUCCUCGGCUCUUCGCCUUCGCCGGUCGACGCCGCCCGCCUCGCCUUCUCCGGCCAGCCCAGCCACCGCAGGCGCGUGCUCCUCGACGCCUUCUCCGCCCGCCGUCCGGCCACCCAGGGACUUCUUCUCCGGUUGCGCUGCGAAGAAGAAAUAUGGAUAAGCUCGACGGUCCUGCCCGUCUUAUGGUCGUUUCUGAUCUUGACCAGACUAUGAUUGAUCACAAUGAUCCAGAGAACUUGUCCUUGCUCAGAUUCCAGGCGCUCUGGGAGUCCGAGUUCUCCCAAGAUUCUUUACUAGUAUUCUCAACUGGAAGAUCACCCAUGAGUUACAGGGGUUUGAGGACACAGAAGCCUUUGCUUACUCCGGACAUCACUAUCAUGUCUGUUGGCACAGUGAUAACAUACGGUGAAGAGAUGAUUCAUGAUGUCGGCUGGGAGGAGUUCCUUAGCAACAAAUGGGAUAGGGACAUUGUUGUCGAAGAGACAGCUAAGUUCCCUCAGCUUAAGCCUCAGCCAGAGAGGAAUCAGGGUCCUCAUAAGGUUAGCUUUUUUGUCAACAAGCAGGGAGCUCAGGAAGCUAUGGAUUCUCUUCCCAAGACAUUGAAGCAGCGUGGGCUAGAUGUUAAAAUAAUCUUCAGUAGUGGUGAGGCCCUUGAUGUAUUACCGCAAGGUGCAGGAAAAGGCCAGGCUCUUUUAUAUUUGCUGAAAAAGUUUGAUGCACAUGGGAAACUACCAAACAACACUCUUGUUUGUGGUGACUCCGGCAAUGAUGCAGAAUUAUUCAGUGUCCCAUCUGUUCAUGGUGUCAUGGUCAGCAAUGCCCAAGAGGAGCUGCUUCAGUGGUAUGAAGAAAAUGCCAAGAUCAAUCCUAUGAUAAUUCAUUCAACUGAGAGGUGUGCUGUUGGUAUCAUGCAAGCUAUUGGACACUUCAAAUUAGGACCUAAUAUUUCUCCAAGAGAUCUUGAAUUCCCUUACCCGAAGUUGGACACCAUCAAACCUGCAGGUGCAGUAGUGAAGUUUUAUGCUCUCUAUGAAAAAUGGAGGAGGGGUGAAGUUCAAAAUUCCCCAUCCAUUAUGCAGUACUUGAAAAGGACUACUCAUCCCAAUGGAACAAUUAUUCAUCCUUCUGGAACGGAGAGUUUACUUCAUGCAUCCAUUGAUGCGCUGAGUUCAUGCUACGCUGAUAAAAAAGACAAGAAGUUCCGAACAUGGGUGGAUAGAGUUGUCACUUCAUCGAUUGGUACAGAUAACUGGAUGGUGAGAUUUGACAAGUGGGAAAUGGAAGGCGAUGUUCGGUAUUGCUGCCUCACAACUCUUCUGCUGACAAUGAAGGUUAUCUGCCUAAACUCACAGCCUGAGACUCAAGAGGGCUUUGAGAUGACACACAUCCACAAGACAUGGCUUGAAGGAUACUCUGCAGGAAAUGAGCAUGCAUGCAUCCUCUAGACCAUUUAACCACAUGCGACUUACACAAAAGACAUGGUGGAUUCAUCAGCAGCCAAGAUAGAAUAACAAGUUUACUCACCCUGGGAUGUUCUGUGGAUUGAAUCUGCGCCGGUUGGCUCUCACCACCAGGAGCCAACCAAGUUAUCGUUCAGUUGAGAACCGAGCGGUGCUCGGGUGGUUAGUCAUGUGAGUUCGAUCCCUGAGAUCACAACUCGCGCGUCUCAUCCAUGGAUUUUCCCUGACACGCGUACGCAUCCCAAAAUCCUAAGCGUGUGGUAGGGGACGCGCACGCAUCUGUUAUGGUGUGUGUUCGUGUGCGUCCUAAGUUAUAUCCUUAAAAAAAGUUAUCGUCUAGUCCUCAAUCGUAUAGUACUCCAUGUAUAUAAA